rnacentral:rRNA from 1 species
CACUAGCCAAUAGGCUUUUCUCUCAUGCCUUUCUUCGUUCAUGGUUCGACAUCCUGGUGUCCUAGGCGUAGAGGAACCACACCAAUCCAUCCCGAAUUUGGUGGUUAAACUCUACUGCGGUGACGAUACUGUAGGGGAAGUCCUGCGGAAAAAUAGCUCGAGGCCAGGAU